rnacentral:rRNA from 1 species
CUCUAAAAAAAAUUGGCGGGGGCGCGCACAAGCGGUGGAGCAUGUGGUUUACUUUGAUGCAACGCGAAGAACCUUACCUACACUUGACAUACAGAGAACUUACCAGAGAUGGUUUGGUGCCUUCGGGAGUUCUGAUACAGGGGCUGCAUGGCUGUCGUCCGCUCGUGUUGGGAGAUGUUGGGUUAAGUCCCGCAACGAGCGCAACCCCUAUCUUUAGUUCCCAGCGAUUCGGUCGGGAACUUUAAGGAGACUGCCGGUGAUAAACCGGAGGAAGGGGGGGAGGACGUCAAGUCAUCAUGGCCCUUACGUGUAGGGCUACACACGUGCUACAAUGGCAGGUACAGAGAGCAGCGAGCUAGCGAUAGUGAGCGAAUCCCUUAAAGCCUGUCGUAGUCCGGAUUGGAGUCUGCAACUCGACUCCCAUGAAGUCGGAAUCGCUAGUAAUCGCAAAUCAGAAUGUUGCGGUGAAUACGUUCCCGGCUCUUGCACAACCCGCCCAGAAAAG